AAGACCUUGCGCUUUUGGAGCGGCCGAUGUCUGAUUAGCUUGUUGGURAGGUAAAAGCUUACCAAGGCUUCGAUCAGUAGCUGGUCUGAGAGGACGGCCAGCCACACUGGGACUGAGACACGGCCCAGACUCCUACGGGAGGCAGCAGUGGGGAAUUUUGGACAAUGGGGGCAACCCUGAUCCAGCCAUGCCGCGUGAGUGAAGAAGGCCUUCGGGUUGUAAAGCUCUUUCAGCCGGAACGAAACGGUUACGGUUAAUACCCGUGACUACUGACGGUACCGGAAGAAGAAGCACCGGCUAACUACGUGCCAGCAGCCGCGGUAAUACGUAGGGUGCAAGCGUUAAUCGGAAUUACUGGGCGUAAAGCGCGCGCAGGUGGUUUUGUAAGUCAGAUGUGAAAUCCCCGGGCUUAACCUGGGAACU
rnacentral:rRNA from 1 species